CCUACGGGUGGCAGCAGUGGGGAAUAUUGGACAAUGGGCGAAAGCCUGAUCCAGCCAUGCCGCGUGUGUGAAGAAGGCCUUCGGGUUGUAAAGCACUUUCAGUGGGGAAGAAAGCCUUGGGGCUAAUACCCUCGAGGAAGGACAUCACCCACAGAAGAAGCACCGGCUAACUCCGCGCCAGCAGCCGCGGUAAUACGGAGGGUGCGAGCGUUAAUCGGAAUUACUGGGCGUAAAGCGCGCGUAGGCGGUCUGAUAAGCCGGUUGUGAAAGCCCCGGGCUCAACCUGGGAACGGCAUCCGGAACUGUCAGGCUAGAGUGCAGGAGAGGAAGGUAGAAUUCCCGGUGUAGCGGUGAAAUGCGUAGAGAUCGGGAGGAAUACCAGUGGCGAAGGCGGCCUUCUGGACUGACACUGACGCUGAGGUGCGAAAGCGUGGGUAGCAAACAGGAUUAGAUACCCCUGUAGUC
rnacentral:rRNA from 1 species